GACAUUGUAACUGACAGAUUGGGUCGUUUAAAGAAAAAGCAAUUUGCUAUAUUGAAAGAGAACAAUUAAUAAAAGUGUUAUUAUUGUUCAUAUUUAUGUGACUGGAGUUAAUGAUAAACGUCAACUAAUGCAUGGCAGUGUUGAUAUUUAUGAAGAAAACGAUUCCUGGAAAUACAAAUGUCAAACGAUUGAAAAUUUUGACCACUGGCACUGUGAAGAAUAACGUUUAGAACCCGUGUCAUUUACAAAAUUUAAUAUUCUUCUUGAGCAGUUAAAGGGGAUAACGUGGAUUUAUGAUUGUGUGAUGACUGUAGCCAUGUGAACGGGUUAUCGUACGGCAAAACCCAUCACGUAAAGAAGAGUCUUCAACUUUUCAAGAAAGGAAUACCUUGUUUUGCUAUCAACACAAAGCUCGGAACAGGAAGGGGCAGAACCUACUACCAGGUAGUUUCAAUGAUGAACUAUCAUGAUAUAGGGCUAAAAGAUGGAUGUGCCAAAUCCACCUCAUGAAAAACAGAUUGGGCAAAAGUGGAGUGCGAACACUAAAUGAUGUGCUGCUAAAUAGCAGACCUUUACAAGUGAAUUCGGCAAAUCCUGAUUCAACCUGAGCUUACCAAGUUUACUGACAGUUUGGAUAAUAUGGACAAUAUAUUGUGUUCAUGUUGUGUGGUGAUUGACAUUUUUUAACAGAUAAGAUUUUUUAAUCCAGACUUAUUAGGUGAUUUUUCUUCAAAGAAUAAAUACAAUACUUUUUUAUUGAUGUGCAUGAAUUUGAGUACAAAAUAGCAACAAUGUGUAUCUUGUGUUGUUUUUCAAAUCAGUCUGUCAUCCAUAGGUAAUAUAUUAAGUAUGAGAAGGGAAUAUUUUAUUUUUAAAUUUUUGUUGUUUCUGCACACCAUGUCAGAUACAUGAACAUAUAUUUUAUGCCCCCAACGGGCGGCAUAUAGUUUUCGCACUGUCCGUCUGUCAGUCUGUCUGUCCUCCGUAACACUUUUCGUUUUCACUCUCUAAUUCAAGUAGUUCUAAUCCGAUCUCCAAACUUGGUCAGAAGUUGCAUCCGGAUAAUGUCUAGGUCAAGACGAACAUGGGUCAUGCCGGGCCAAAAACUAUAUCAUAGGGUCACUUAGUGCGUUUCAAACAUUCAGCAUGGUGUCCGCUCUCUAAUUCAAGUUCAAGAUACUGGUUGAAUAAGGACGUCAUUUAAUCCAAAACGGGCAUUCAGCAUUUAUGACACACAAAAAGUGACAGACCCAGAUGGGUUAUAAUCUCGUUCCCAGCCACAUAUCUUCAUCGCCUAUGUAGGAUGGCCAUGACUUAUUGAUCUACUAUCCAUUGUGACUUUUUGAAAAAUGCAGCUGCAGCCUUGAUUUUUAUAAACCUGUUUAUAAUAAUGCAUACACAUACUAAAUCAAUAAAAAAACUUCCGACGAAACGUCUUCUUAAAAAAAGAUAGUUUGACUAUGUAUAAAGAUAUUGACAUCUAUAUACAUAGUCGAACUAUCUUUUUUUUAAGAACUAAACUUCUUCCCAAACACACUAAAUCUAGCCCCAGGCCUUCAGCGCCUAUGGCGCUUUGAUUAUAUUCAAGAUGUCCUAUUCGUUCGAGCAAAACUGUUGUGAAAGACAAACACAUGGCUUUGUGACGGUCGUAUGUGUAAACAAUAUGAAGACUGAUCGAUGAUUGAAAGAUGAGUUUAGGACUGUGUUUGUUCUGAUGAUAUCGCAAAACUAUAAAGUAUGAUCAAUGUAAUUUCAAACAACCCGUAAUGGGCCAUAAUUUAGUAAUGGUAUACAUGGGCUGUCUUGGAUCAGCAUUAUUACAUCAACUGUGAUAUAAUUACGUAAAAACUAGAUCCAUUCUACUACUGCAUGAAAUUGUCCUUUGUUUUUAUUUUGAUUUAAUAUUAUGUUGUACAUAAGAUCACAUCAAAAGGGACCAAAAUAAAUGUUAACAUCUUCAACAAGUUCAUGGUAGAGGUAAAAUGAAUCCAUUACACUAGUCAUGGUUGGUAUCGCCUUGAGGGAGGUUAAUAAUGAUACCGAAUGGUUCGGGUAUUGGCAAGUCAAGUGUGUGCUAUCAUCACGGACAAGUUUUGCCCAUCAGCACAACCGUUACCUAGUCGAAACCUGAGCUUUAAGAUUUUCCUAGCGAACAUAAAUCGAAAUAUGUCGGGUCCUUGCCGUGGAUAUUGUCUUAUUUACUUCGUGGUGCAGAUAUGAAUAUUUCUAGGCGAAUUCUGAAUGUUAUUGGAUUUCUUUCAUAAAACGUUUAUUAGUUAAGUUUGA